UACGGAGGGGGCUAGCGUUGUCCGAAUUUACUGGGCGUAAAGCGCGCGUAGGCGGGUUGGUAAGUCCGCUGUGAAAGCCCGGAGCUUAACUCCGGAACUGCCUUUAAGACUGCAUCGCUUGAAUCCAGGAGAGGUGAGUGGAAUUCCGAGUGUAGAGGUGAAAUUCGUAGAUAUUCGGAAGAACACCAGUGGCGAAGGCGGCUCACUGGACUGGUAUUGACGCUGAGGUACGAAAGCGUGGGGAGCAAACAGG
rnacentral:rRNA from 1 species